UUAUAUGGAGAAGAAUAUCAUGGCCUCUGCACAAGAAUGACAUGCAGACUUGUGAAGUGCUCCAUAUUUUU
ensembl:snRNA U6 U6 spliceosomal RNA